CCCCCGGGACCGGGGAAGCCACCGCACGUGCGGGUGCGCUCGCGGCCGCUCUCCCGACACCUCAGGGCUACUUCUUGUCGUGUCUUCCUCCUUAUCCUUUCUCCAGCCAUGUUUUUUCUUUUUCCUCCUCCAGAGUUCUACUCCCCGUUCCCCUGGGAAGCAUCUUCCUUGGGUCGUUUCCAUUUGUGACUCCAGUUCCAGAGCCUCCUGAGACGCCCCUUCGCGCCCAGAAAGCCCCUAAACCGACCGCUCUCGGGAGAUCCGGAGCAGAUACUCACAUAGAUGGAAUCCUACAGCUUUUUGAGUCCGGCUUCUUUCACUUAGCAUUUUGAGAUUCUUCCCCGCUGUCCCUCUGGAUUGCUGACUAGAUUCCACUGUAUGAAGCAUUGUGCAGGAAUUCCAGUGGCUUCCUGCCCUCCUCAGUACGUGGGAUUGUCCACUGUUGGGUCUGGUUUGGAGGUCAUUCGAACAGAUUUUUUUAAUUGUGGUAACAUAUGUAAUAUAAGGUUUGCCAUUUUAACCAUUUUCAAGUGUAUAAUUCACUGGCAUUAAUUACUUCCGCAACAUUGGGCUACCAUCACCACCUUCCUUGCUAAAACUUUUUCAUCACCCAAAACAGAAACUCUUUACCCAUCAAGUCACCCUUUCCCCUCCCCCCAGCCCCUGGUGACCUCAAACCCCUCCCUCUAUGAAUUUGCUUAUUCUAGAUAUUUCAUAUAACUGGAAUCAUACAGUGUUUGUGUUUGUGUGUCUGGCUUCAUUUAGCCUAAUGUCUGCAGGGUUCAUCCAGGUUGUGGAGUGUAUCAGCACCUCGUUCCCUUUCACUCAGUGUUCUGAUGUGUGGAUGCGCCACACUUUGUCUAUCCAUUCAUCUGUUGAUGGACAUUUUGGUUGUUUCCACUUGGGGCUCUUGUGAAUGGUGCUGCCAUGAACAAUACUGAGCAAGUGUCUGUUCGAAUCCCUGCUCUUCAAAACUUUUGGUGGCUGCACCAUUCUAUAUUUUCACCAACAACGCAUGAGAGUUCCAAUUUCUCCACAUCCUCGCCAACGGUUUUGUUAUAACCUGUAUUUUAAACAAUAGCUAUCGCAGUGGAUGAGAAGUGGUAUCUUGUGGUUUUGAUUUGCAUUUCCCUAAUGGCUAAUGUUGUUGAAUAUCUUUUCAUAUUGUGCUGGUUUGAAGCUGUAUAUAUGCUAGAAAAACACGUUCCUAAUUUAAUCCAUUCCUGUGGGUGUGAACCCAUUGUAAGUAGGAACCUUUUGAUGAGGCUGCUUCAGUUAAGGUGUGGCCCAGCCCAAUCAGGAUAAGUUUCAACCCUAUUCCUGGAGGCCUGAGUAAGUGGAAUGAAUUCUGAAAUGAGAGAAAGCCACAGGAAGUAAGAAGCUGAACUCAACAAAACCCAGCAGAGAAGGGAGAGACCAGGGCAGAGGAGCCAAGGAUCGCCAGCAGCCAG